GAUUUACUGAUUUAGCAUGAUUCAAUCUUAUCCUCCAUAAUAUGAAUAUCAAACACUACAGAAUAUUACAGAGAAAAAAUGGGCAAGGAAGAUAUGUAGCUUUUCAAAAAGAUUAAGGCAAUCUUGGUUAUCUUCAAAUUCAACUUUAGCCCAAUUUAAGCAGCAAAAAAUUGAAGCAUCAAAAUUAAACAGAUAUAGGAACAGAAACAUCAAAGAUAAACAUGAAGUCAUGAACAGAAAGGAACAUGAACAGAGAGCAACAUGUUUUCUGUGAUAGAGAAGAACAGGAACAAGAACAGAACCAUGAACAGAAUCAUGCCCGCAUACAUGAACCGAGGUGGAAGGCAGAGUAUUACCGGCGAGCUGGGCGAGGUGGAGAGCUGGGCGACGACGGUGGAGGUGGGGAGCUGGGCGACGGUGAUGGAGGAGAGCUCGGCGACGACGGUGGAGGUGGGGAGCUGGGCGACGGCGAUGGAGGAGAGGUGCGACGGUGGAGGUGGCGAGCUGGGCGACUACGAUGGAGGAGCGGAGCUCC